ACACUGCCGAGAAAAGCCUCUAGAUAGAAAAUAGGUGCCCGUACCGCAAACCGACACAGGUAGUCAAGAUGAGAAUUCUAAGGUGAGCGAGCGAACUCUCGUUAAGGAACUCGGCAAAAUGACCCCGUAACUUCGGGAGAAGGGGUGCUCUUUAGGGUUAACGCCCAGAAGAGCCGCAGUGAAUAGGCCCAAGCGACUGUUUAUCAAAAACACAGGUCUCUGCUAAACCGUAAGGUGAUGUAUAGGGGCUGACGCCUGCCCGGUGCUGGAAGGUUAAGAGGAGUGGUUAGCUUCUGCGAAGCUACGAAUCGAAGCCCCAGUAAACGGCGGCCGUAACUAUAACGGUCCUAAGGUAGCGAAAUUCCUUGUCGGGUAAGUUCCGACCCGCACGAAAGGCGUAACGAUUUGGGCACUGUCUCAACGAGAGACUCGGUGAAAUCAUAGUACCUGUGAAGAUGCAGGUUACCCGCGACAGGACGGAAAGACCCCGUGGAGCUUUACUGUAGCCUGAUAUUGAAAUUCGGCACAGCUUGUACAGGAUAGGUAGGAGCCUUUGAAACGUGAGCGCUAGCUUACGUGGAGGCGCUGGUGGGAUACUACCCUAGCUGUGUUGGCUUUCUAACCCGCACCACUUAUCGUGGUGGGAGACAGUGUCAGGCGGGCAGUUUGACUGGGGCGGUCGCCUCCUAAAAGGUAACGGAGGCGCUCAAAGGUUCCCUCAGAAUGGUUGGAAAUCAUUCAUAGAGUGUAAAGGCAUAAGGGAGCUUGACUGCGAGACCUACAAGUCGAGCAGGGUCGAAAGACGGACUUAGUGAUCCGGUGGUUCCGCAUGGAAGGGCCAUCGCUCAACGGAUAAAAGCUACCCCGGGGAUAACAGGCUUAUCUCCCCCAAGAGUUCACAUCGACGGGGAGGUUUGGCACCUCGAUGUCGGCUCAUCGCAUCCUGGGGCUGUAGUCGGUCCCAAGGGUUGGGCUGUUCGCCCAUUAAAGCGGUACGCGAGCUGGGUUCAGAACGUCGUGAGACAGUUCGGUCCCUAUCCGUCGUGGGCGUAGGAAAUUUGAGAGGAGCUGUCCUUAGUACGAGAGGACCGGGAUGGACAUACCUCUGGUGUACCAGUUGUCGUGCCAACGGCAUAGCUGGGUAGCUAUGUGUGGACGGGAUAAGUGCUGAAAGCAUCUAAGCAUGAAGCCCCCCUCAAGAUGAGAUUUCCCAACUUCGGUUAUAAGAUCCCU
rnacentral:rRNA from 1 species